rnacentral:tRNA from 1 species
GAGCACGUAGCUCAGUCGGUAGAGCACCUGACUUUUAAUCAGGUUGUCGAUGGUUCGAUUCCAUCCGUGCUCA